ACCAGCACGGUUAUGGUGGGCACUCUAAGGAGACUGCCGGUGACAAACCGGAGGAAGGUGGGGAUGACGUCAAGUCAUCAUGGCCCUUACGGCCUGGGCUACACACGUGCUACAAUGGUCGGUACAAAGGGUUGCCAAGCCGCGAGGUGGAGCUAAUCCCAUAAAACCGAUCGUAGUCCGGAUCGCAGUCUGCAACUCGACUGCGUGAAGUCGGAAUCGCUAGUAAUCGUGAAUCAGAAUGUCACGGUGAAUACGUUCCCGGGCCUU
rnacentral:rRNA from 1 species